AACGAACGCUGGCGGCAUGCCUAACACAUGCAAGUCGAACGAGACCUUCGGGUCUAGUGGCGCACGGGUGCGUAACGCGUGGGAACCUGCCCUUAGGUUCGGAAUAACUCCCCGAAAGGGGUGCUAAUACCGGAUAAUGUCUUCGGACCAAAGAUUUAUCGCCUUUGGAUGGGCCCGCGUUGGAUUAGCUAGUUGGUAGGGUAAAAGCCUACCAAGGCGACGAUCCAUAGCUGGUCUGAGAGGAGGAUCAGCCACACUGGGACUGAGACACGGCCCAGACUCCUACGGGAAGCAGCAGUGGGGAAUAUUGGACAAUGGGCGAAAGCCUGAUCCAGCAAUGCCGCGUGAGUGAUGAAGGCCUUAGGGUUGUAAAGCUCUUUUACCCGGGAUGAUAAUGACGGUACCGGGAGAAUAAGCUCCGGCUAACUCCGUG
rnacentral:rRNA from 1 species